AGCCUCGUGGUGUAUAACAUGUUGGAUUGCAAAUCCGAAGAUGCAGACUAAUACCCUGCCGGGGCUU
rnacentral:tRNA from 1 species